rnacentral:lncRNA from 1 species
GUCAAGUCUCCUGAGAGUCACCUUAUGAAGUCCUAGGCUCACACUCUUGCAAAUCAGCAUCUCCAGAGCUGGCCUUCCCUCAGAUUCCUCUAAUUCCCAGUUCCACACAACCAGUCACCAUGAGGACCUUCUACCUGGCUUUUCUGCUGUUCUUCAUGAUCUUCUCCUACACUAACACAGGUUAUCAAAGCCAGAGAAGAUGUGGGACAUCAUGGGGCUUGUGUGCAUAUAUAGCCUGUGUACCUCCUCGAAUUCUUACAGGAAGUUGUGCUCACAUGUUUAAAGUUUGUUGUUCAAACCCAAUGUUUAGAGUGGAAAAUAUCACAGAGGACUCUGAUAAUUAGCCCAGUCCACUUUUGGGUUGAGCUGCAGAAAGACAAGAGGAUAGAAGAUAGAAGAAGUUGAAAUGCACAGAAUUUUUUUAAUAAAUGAAAGUCCAUUCU